UCUAGUCACUUGAUGGAUUUGCUGUGAGCUCUUGCAACAUAACCCUCCCCGGUCCAGCCUGAGUGCCUGCCCAACAGUGAACCGCCUUCAGCCUGUUCUGUAAUGUUCUCAGUUCUGUUCACACAGGCCGAGUGCCCACCAUGCACCAGACCUGGCGCCAACUGCUGGCCAGGGCCACUUCCUGGAGGGUUUUCACUUUCACUCACGGUCACCUGCACCUCGGCCACUUUGCCCAAGUCCAGGAACGAAAGGACCCAGAAGGGACGAGAUAAUGAUGUUCCUCCAGCAAAAUGAGCAGGACAGGGCUGUGCCCUCUGAUGAGACAGCCAGCGUGGCAGUGUGCCGGGAGCAGGACACAGGCGGUGAGAGUAGACAGUGCCCACCCGGGAGUGGUCUGGAACCCUCUUGAGCUGCCGAGCAGCAGACUCUGGUCAGGGUCCUGGCUGGACAGUGGUGUGUUUGAAGGGUUCCUGGAGAAAAGCUUCAUGAAGGGACUACUGACAGUGGGAAGGCUUAUGGGAACUGCAGAUGGAUGGCAGAGAUGAGCAAAAGCAAGAGCCUGAAGGGGCAAGGGAGGGUCAAAGGUGCUACCAACCCUGGAGAGAGCUGCAUUCUGGGCAGAGGCCACCGCCAGGAGCUGGGAGAAAGCAGUGGAGAGCCCCACGACUGCCAGAGCCACACAGGGCUGGGGGCGGGGUCACACAUACUGCCAACCCCUCUCACCCUUGUCUGAUCUCCUGCUGGUGCUGCCCGUUGGCUGGACCAACUCUAAAGCCAGAGGACAAGGGAAUCGGGGUGAGACCAUCGCCAGGCCAGCCUCCCAGGCACAGGAGAAUGGCUUUGAAAGGGCAAAAGAAGAACUACUGUGCAUCUUCUAGCCCAUCUUACAAUCAGAACUAAAUAAGCACACGUGUAAGCUGUCCGGCGUUGGUCUUCCCCUCUGGACGGUGAGGAGGGGGCGUAUGCCUCAGGCCUGGCACAUUGGAGAUGCUCGGGAAUAUCUGCUCACCGAGGAUGUUCCCACGACAGAGGCCAGCGGGAGGCCCUUCCCCACGCUCGCUCCAUCCCCGCUCCCACCACUUGUGGCUGCCCCUCCAGCGCCUGUCUGCUCCGCCCCGCCCGCUGCACCGCACCCCGCAGACCGCAGGCUCCAUGAAGGCAGGGCUGAGGCUCCCCGCUCAGCAGAGCCUGGCACAUGCAGAUGCUCCGCCAACAUCUGAGGACGGAAGAAUCCACAGCUGAGCUGUGGCCAGUCCCCUGCUCCACGUCACCUGAGGGAUGAUGGCCUGCUGAUUUGCUAAUUCUAAACAGCUGAUGCUAGAACCCGCCUUCCCGCCCCUCUGCCCGCUUCAUCUUGUGUGCACUUCCCCCUCGCCAUACCCUUUCCACACACACCAAGGGGUCUGCCCUCUCUCCUCUGCUGGCAGACUAGCUACAUUGUCUUUCCUGAGACCCUCACUUCGGCCCAUCACUGAGAAAUGACGACCACGAACAGGUAAGUUUUAAUAAUUAUGAUGAUAAUAAUAGCUAGCAUUAUGAUUGGUGCUAGGUACUGUCCUAAGGGGGAAACAUGGAGUUCUCUCAUUACAUCCUCACAAGAACCCAAUGAGACUGGAUACUAUUACUAGGAUCAUUUGACAGAAUAGGAAACUGAGGCUGAGAGGCCAGGUGAUUUGCCUGAAGUCACAGCCAGUCAGCAGUGGGAGAGAAUUUGAACCCAGGUCUGUCUGAUUACCAUGAUCUUCACCCACAAGGCUGAGUCAGAACUUGUGAACUAGUACUUAUAAUAUCUGCAGCUCACGCUGCCAACAGCUUGCUAAGCAUGGUGGCCUGAACUUUGUUCUCAAAUAUUUGCAGCCCCUCCCACCCCUGCUGCUGUCGCAUGUGUCCACGUCCCUGGCUCUGGCCAAUGAAAUGUGAGCAGAGGUGGCAUGUCACUUUGUGGAAGCUUUAAAAGCCAGCGUGGGCAUCACCGUGAUCUCUCGUCCCUCUGCCACAGUUACUGGUGGUGUUCUAGACAGAGGCUGUCCCACCAGCCCGGGUCCCAGAGUGAAGGCCAGGCAGAGAAGAAACAUACCCAACCCACAGUGGGCUUGAAGUGAGAGGAUGAAAUACGCCUUUGGUGGUUUAAGCCACAAAAUGUGGGGGUUGUUUGUUAUACCAGCAUGGCCCGGCCGAUCCUGACUACUUCCCCGAGUCCACCUUCUAAACUCUGGCUGUGUAUAUGCUUGUUUAAAAAGUAAGCUUCACGAAAGGGAUCAUGUCUGAUGCCCUGUGUACUGUGCUUGACUCACCUGUCACUAAGCACGUGCACCUCAAUGGCACACACAUACAAGCACAGUGAGGGAGCAGGGAUGGAGGGGCGAGGCAGCAUCACACGGUGAGGGACGGAAGCCACAGGCCAAGGAAGGUUCAUCGUGGGCUGGCAGCCUCUGGGACUGGCGGGCACUCUGGAGAGCUGCAUAUCAGUCAUGCCCUCUAACGACCAACUCAAGCCCGACCUCAAGGCCAAUCCCAUCCC